GACGAACGCUGGCGGCGUGCUUAACACAUGCAAGUCGAACGGAAAGGCCCUGCUUUUGUGGGGUGCUCGAGUGGCGAACGGGUGAGUAACACGUGAGUAACCUGCCCUUGACUUUGGGAUAACUUCAGGAAACUGGGGCUAAUACCGGAUAGGAGCUCCUGCUGCAUGGUGGGGGUUGGAAAGUUUCGGCGGUUGGGGAUGGACUCGCGGCUUAUCAGCUUGUUGGUGGGGUAGUGGCUUACCAAGGCUUUGACGGGUAGCCGGCCUGAGAGGGUGACCGGCCACAUUGGGACUGAGAUACGGCCAAGACUCCUACGGGAGGCAGCAGUGGGGAAUAUUGCACAAUGGGCGGAAGCCUGAUACAGCAACGCCGCGUGCGGGAUGACGGCCUUCGGGUUGUAAACCGCUUUCGCCUGUGACGAAGCGUGAGUGACGGUAAUGGGUAAAGAAGCACCGGCUAACUACGUG
rnacentral:rRNA from 1 species